GAUGAACGCUGGCGGCGUGCCUAAUACAUGCAAGUCGAACGGAGACGUUAUAGCAAUAUAGUGUCUUAGUGGCGAACGGGUGAGUAACGCGUUGGUGACCUGCCCCGAAGAGGGGGAUAACAGCUCGAAAGAGCUGCUAAUACCCCAGGUGGUCGUGAAGAUUAGAGGCUUUACGACUAAAGGGGUAAUCCGCUUCGGGAGGGGCCUGCGUCCCAUCAGCUAGUUGGUAGGGUACUGGCCUACCAAGGCGACGACGGGUAGGGGACCUGAGAGGGUGACCCCCCACACUGGCACGGAAACACGGGCCAGACACCUACGGGUGGCAGCAGUAGGGAAUAUUGCACAAUGGGCGAAAGCCUGAUGCAGCAACGCCGCGUGCGCGAUGAAGGCCUUCGGGUCGUAAAGCGCUUUUUGGGGAGAUGAGGAAGGACAGUAUCCCCAGAAUAAGGUUCGGCUAACUACGUGCCAGCCGCCGCGGUAAUAC
rnacentral:rRNA from 1 species